rnacentral:lncRNA from 1 species
AGCAUGUAAAACCAAAGUUUUUUUUUGUCUUUUUUCGAAUUCAUUUCACGCGUUCUGUUAAAAAACCUUGUCUUCUCUUGAAAAAAAAAAAACGCCAAACAGUCGAACACCCGAAUUGCCAAACCCAGAUACCGGUCGCUGGCCACCGUGCAGGCCACCUCCACUUCCGGCCACCGUUCACCGUCAAAUCUUCACAGUAGCUUCACCUCAACCUCAACUUUCUCGUUCUAAGCUCGGGUUUUCGAGAAUCACCCCCUAUAAUCCUAGAUGUACACCGAAAGCCACGGCCAAAACAACCCAAAACACCUACCUCUGCCACCCGCAACAGUCCUACCUUUUAAUAUGUUGUUCUCCUCCUUUUGAUCUCCAUCCACACCGGUUUUAAGCUCCCAAAUCCCCCUAAAAGUCCCCAAACCUGAAAACCCAAGAAAAUCUCCUUUUCCUUUUUCAUUUUGUUUUUUUUUACUCCGGCUGUUCCGCAAUUGGGAAUAAGGUUUUUUUUUUUUUUUCUUUUGUAUGUUUUUUGGUGGCUUUCGGUUGCUAGACAAAAAAAGGUUUUUAUUUUUAGUUAUUCUUGUGUUUGUUGAUGAAUGGUCAAGAAGGUAGUUGAGGUGGGGUGGAGAGUAGGUGAGGAAGCUGUGGCGUUUUGGGUCGAUUUAGGAAUGUAAAAUGGGUGUUGCCAGGGGCUGUUUUAGUGGAUUUCAGUUGAAAUUUUUUGUGUUAGGGUGAAGAUGGUGUGAUGGAGGUGAUGGUGGUGGCAAUAAUACUGGUGUGUGGUGGUCUAUGUGUUCUGAGCGUUGUGGUUUUUUGUGUGAGUUUCGGGUGGUGGGUGUCUUGGAUAGUUGGGGUGUUUUCUUUGUGGCAGUAACGGUGGCGGUGGGCUUUCGGUUCAAGGGUGGUGAUGGUGGUUUCUGGUCUAACGGGCGGAGUUUGGUGGU